rnacentral:pre_miRNA from 13 species
AUUGUUCACUCUCCCUCAAGGCUUCCAACGCAAUAACCAGCUACGUACAUGUAACUGUGUUACGGCUGCAGGCUUGAGGCCUUUGGGGGAGAGUGGUCAA